rnacentral:rRNA from 1 species
GACGAACGCUGGCGGCGCGCUUAACACAUGCAAGUCGAGCGAAGCGGCGGACGGGUGAGUAACACGUGAGUAACCUCCCUUAGACCUUGGGAUAGCCUCGGGAAACCGGGAUUAAUACCAAAUGGUCUAAGAUGGACUCGCAUCCCCUGAGCUAGCUGGUGAGGUAACGGCCCAACAAGGCGACGAUGGGUACCCGGCCUGAGAGGGUGAACGGCCACAUUGGAAAUGAUAAACAGUCCAAACUCUACGGGAGGCAGCAGUGGGGAAUAUUGCACAAUGGAGGGAACUCUGAUGCAGCGACGCCGCGUGGACGAAGAAGGCUUUCGAGUUGUAAAGUUCUUUUAUAUGGGAAGCGGUACCAUAAGAAAAAGCCCCGGCUAACUACGUGCCAGCAGCCGCGGUAAUAC